GACGAACGCUGGCGGCGUGCUUAACACAUGCAAGACGAACGGUGAAGCGCCUUCCUUUUUGGUGGGUGUGGAUGAGUGGCGAACGGGUGAGUAACACGUGAGUAACCUGCCCCCUUCUUCUGGAUAACCGCAUGAAAGUGUGGCUAAUACGGGAUAUUCUGGGUCUGUCGCAUGAUGGGUCUGGGAAAGAUAUUGUUUCGGUGGGGGAUGGGCUCGCGGCCUAUCAGCUUGUUGGUGGGGUGAUGGCCUACCAAGGCGGUGACGGGUAGCCGGCCUGAGAGGGUGGACGGUCACACUGGGACUGAGACACGGCCCAGACUCCUACGGGAGGCAGCAGUGGGGAAUAUUGCACAAUGGGCGCAAGCCUGAUGCAGCGACGCCGCGUGAGGGAUGGAGGCCUUCGGGUUGUGAACCUCUUUCGCCAGUGAAGCAGGCCUGCCUCGUUUGUGGGUGGGUUGACGGUAGCUGGAUAAGAAGCGCCGGCUAACUACGUG
rnacentral:rRNA from 1 species